GCCUAAUUGGACCUGGAAGGAAACCCUAGCUCAGUUUGCUCUUCACCUUUGACUUCCAGUUCCAGCUCGGUGACUCAAUCUCCAUCUUCGAGCUCCUCUUCAUCUGAUUCCUCUUCAUCUUCGAGCUCAAUCACUGACUCCUCUUCAUCGGAUUCAUCUUCAGUGACUUCAAUCGGCUCUUCUCCUUCGAGCUUGAGCACAGUUAAUUCCUCUUCUCCUUCGACAGGCAGAGUCUAGACGAGUUUCCUCAAUCUCACUCGUUGUUCUUCAAUCAACCGGAGAAGGUGACGAAUCCCUUGUUUGAAAAAAGGCCAAUGCAAUUUGGAAUUGGAGGGGCUCUGCCUCCAAAGAGGAACUUGACCCGAUUUGUCAAAUUCCCCAAGACUGUUCAAAUCCAGAGGAAGAGUUGGAUUCUGAAGCAGAGGUUGAAGGUCCCACCUACUCUUAACCAGUUCACAAAGACACUGGAUAAGAACCUUGGUAAGCACGGCAAUAAGCUAUUGUGACAUGUCGUGCUUGAAUUUUAGAUGAGGUAGUUAUCAUGUGAACUUGCUGUUCUAUGCACUUUAGUGAAAUUAUACUAGCUGUCGAAUGUUGUUACUUGUUCAUUCUCCAUAUAUGGAUUAUUUCUCUGCUGGCUCCAUGAAGCUAACUACCCUUUCUGUGCUACCGAUGUUGAAACCAGUUUGGGACUUCAAAUUUUUUUUUGGUUAGCUGUGACUUCAAUGUCAAAUGACUAUCAGUUCUUUUCGAUGAGUCA